rnacentral:rRNA from 1 species
UGGGGAAUAUUGCACAAUGGAGGAAACUCUGAUGCAGCAACGCCGCGUGGAGGAUGACACAUUUCGGUGCGUAAACUCCUUUUAUUAGGGAAGAUAAUGACGGUACCUAAUGAAUAAGCACCGGCUAACUCCGUGCCAGCAGCCGCGGUAAUACGGGGGGUGCAAGCGUUACUCGGAAUCACUGGGCGUAAAGAGCAUGUAGGCUGGUUUGUAAGUUGGAAGUGAAAUCCUAUGGCUUAACCAUAGAACUGCUUCCAAAACUGCAGACCUAGAGUAUGGGAGAGGUAGAUGGAAUUUCUGGUGUAGGGGUAAAAUCCGUAGAGAUCAGAAGGAAUACCGAUUGCGAAGGCGAUCUACUGGAACAUUACUGACGCUGAGAUGCGAAAGCGUGGGGAGCAAACAGG